rnacentral:rRNA from 1 species
UACGGAGGGUGCAAGCGUUAUCCGGAUUCACUGGGUUUAAAGGGUGCGUAGGUGGGUUGGUAAGUCAGUGGUGAAAUCUCCGUGCUUAACAUGGAAACUGCCAUUGAUACUACUGAUCUUGAAUUUUCUGGAAGUAAGCGGAAUAUGUCAUGUAGCGGUGAAAUGCUUAGAUAUGACAUAGAACACCAAUUGCGAAGGCAGCUUACUACAGGGACAUUGACACUGAGGCACGAAAGCGUGGGGAGCAAACAGG